rnacentral:rRNA from 1 species
AGUGAACGCUGGCGGCAGGCCUAACACAUGCAAGUCGAACGGCCGCACAGUAAGCGUUUGCUCCUACGGGUGGCGGGUGGCGGACGGGUGAGGCAUGCAUCGCCUUCUUCUUUUUCGUGGGUGACAACGUAGGGCCAGUGCCGCUACCACAUCAUACGUUCUACGGGUGAAUGCAGUGGAUCUUGGCGGUUUUGGUGUCUCUUUGAGACGAUGUCGGAUUAGCUAGUUGGCGGGGUAAAGGCCCACCAAGGCAACGAUGCGUAGCUGGUCUGAGAGGAUGAUCAGCCACACUGGAACUGAGACACGGUCCAGACUCCUACGGGAGGCAGCAGUGGGGAAUAUUGGACAAUGGGCGCAAGCCUGAUGCAGCCAUGCCGCGUGGGUGAAGAAGGCCUUCGGGUUGUAAAGCCCUGUUGUUGGGAAAGAAAAGCAGCAGGUUAAUACCCGGCUGUUCUGACGGUACCCAAAGAAUAAGCACCGGCUAACUACGUG